rnacentral:rRNA from 1 species
AGAUUGAACGCUGGCGGCAUGCCUUACACAUGCAAGUCGAACGGUAGAGUAGCAAUACUCGAGAGUGGCGAACGGGUGAGUAAUAUAUCGGAACGUGCCCAGUAGCGGGGGGAUAACUACGCGAAAGCGUGGCUAAUACCGCAUACGCCCUACGGGGGGAAAGGGGGGGAUUCUUUCGAGAACCUCUCACUAUUGGAGCGCCGAUAUCAGAUUAGCUAGUGGUGAAGGUAAAGGCUCACCAAGGACGACGAUCUGUAGCUGGUUUGAGAGGACGACCAGCCACACGUGGGACUGGAGACGACGGCCCACGGUACCUACCGUACGGGGAGGCAGGCAGGUACGGGGAAUUUGGACAAGUCGGGGGAAACCUGAUCCAG